UACGUAGGGGGCAAGCGUUGUCCGGAUUUAUUGGGCGUAAAGCGCGUGUAGGCGGCAUGGCAAGUCGGGUGUGAAAGCCCUCAGCUUAACUGAGGAAGUGCGCCCGAAACUGCCGUGCUUGAGUGCCGGAGAGGGUGGCGGAAUUCCCCAAGUAGAGGUGAAAUUCGUAGAUAUGGGGAGGAACACCGGUGGCGAAGGCGGCCACCUGGACGGUAACUGACGCUGAGACGCGAAAGCGUGGGGAGCAAACAGG
rnacentral:rRNA from 1 species